GUGCCAGCCGCCGCGGUAAUACGGAGGGAGCUAGCGUUGUUCGGAAUUACUGGGCGUAAAGCGCACGUAGGCGGCUUUGUAAGUUAGAGGUGAAAGCCUGGAGCUCAACUCCAGAAUUGCCUUUAAGACUGCAUCGCUUGAAUCCAGGAGAGGUGAGUGGAAUUCCGAGUGUAGAGGUGAAAUUCGUAGAUAUUCGGAAGAACACCAGUGGCGAAGGCGGCUCACUGGACUGGUAUUGACGCUGAGGUGCGAAAGCGUGGGGAGCAAACAGGAUUAGAUACCCCCGUAGUCC
rnacentral:rRNA from 1 species